UCAACAUUCAAACCUUUCCCAAAAUAAAAAAAGGAAGAAAAUCAUUUCCUUUAAACUGACAACAUCAAAGCCUUAAAUUUGAAGAUUUCCAAACAGUAACUAUAAAAAGAAAGAGAAAUUUUAGAGAAAAGGACACCAACAUCAGUCAUAUAUAUCAACAACUAAAAAAAAUCAUAGAAGCGUAAAUAGAAAAGCGAAACCGCAAACCAACGAAUUGGAUCGAACUACCGUCGUGCGUAUAACCGCUUUCUCCAGAAUCGUCUGACGACUGCCGCAGACCGUCGACGACACCAGCAGAUUUUCCACACCACAUUUGCCUUUGUCGCUGUUGGAAUUCGCCUCCAAUUGUCGUUGUCGAGAGAAUGAACUAUAUUAAGGGGAGAAGAUCAUUGUUGUUGUUGAUUUGUUCGGUGGAUUACAUAUUGGUUACUUUCUUGUUCUUCGGUUUCUUAUCCUAAAACAUGUUCUUCUAUGAGAAGAAAAUAAAUGGGUAUUACUAA